AUUAGAUUAGAUAACGUCACAAAUUAAUACAAAGCCUAGUUGAUUUCCACCGACCGUCUGAAUGGUUUACACGUGUUGUUGCAGAAUUACGGUAAUCCAUUUUGAAUGGUGUCCACCGUCUAGCCUAGGCACCACAUCUACAAACAAAUUAAUUGAAAUCAUUUUAAUUAAAAACAUACAUACCCCGUAUACAAAUAAUUAUUCAUUAUAAUAAGAUGGAGAAAUAUAACGACGGUGGCUGCUGCCAUCACGUCACCUUCAUAGACCAAGAUGGUCACCGGAAAACCUCAACAGUGCCGGUGGUCCAAGAACUUGCCCGCCAAGGGCUAACCCAAUUGCCGGAGAGGUUCAUACGUGCCCCCUCUAAGAAGAACCCAAUUGACGAUGACUCCCAC
rnacentral:lncRNA from 1 species